rnacentral:rRNA from 1 species
CCUACGGGAGGCAGCAGUGAGGAAUAUUGGUCAAUGGUCGGGAGACUGAACCAGCCAAGCCGCGUGAGGGAUGAAGGUACAGAGUAUCGUAAACUCCUUUUGUCAGGGAACAAAGGCGGGGACGUGUCCCCGGAUGAGUGUACCUGAAGAAAAAGCAUCGGCAAACUCCGUGCCAGCAGCCGCGGUAAUACGGAGGAUGCGAGCGUUAUCCGGAUUUAUUGGGUUUAAAGGGUGCGCAGGCGGUCUGUUAAGUCAGCGGUCAAAGCCCGGGGCUCAACCCCGGCCCGCCGUUGAAACUGGCAGUCUCGAGUUGGAGAGAGGUAUGCGGAAUGCGCGGUGUAGCGGUGAAAUGCGUAGAUAUCGCGCAGAACUCCGAUUGCGAAGGCAGCAUACCGGCUCCACACUGACGCUGAGGCACGAAAGCGUGGGUAGCGAACAGGAUUAGAUACCCUGGUAGUC